CUGCAAACAAUAGACUGUUACAAAAUAAAAUAAGUGGAAUGAAAUGUGAGAGUCUCACUUCGAGUCUGUCUCCGACGACCUGUUGCUGAGGGUCCUCCCCAGACCCUCCUUGACACAUACAAUUCUGCUUCUCCCCGCGCAAGCACAGUCUCGCCGCUCUCGCGACUUGCGCGAGCUCUUCUACCUUUCGCGCAUGCGUAGUUUCGAAUUCUGAGUCGGGAUUGUAAAAUCCGGACUAGUCGCGGACGUUUUAAACACCGCCCGGACGCUUGGACAGGAGCACAAAAAGAGGACAUGUCCGGGGAAAACCGGACAUAUGGUCUUUCUUGGAUUGUGUCCUAACCUCAUGUGGAUAUUUCAUCCCUUGAACAUUGUUUCACUAGUAGCAAAUGUCUGGUCGACUUUUACAUGAAAAGGCAGCUGUCAUUUGGGGCCAGACCUGCAGUGAUUAUACAACAAAGGAGCACCUAAUUUUUACAUAUCAUGAAGCAGACCAGCCUAAGUAGCAACUAAAGAAAUUUGAUGGUAUCAACAUCAGUUCCUUCUGGAGGAUACUUUUUUAGGAUC